rnacentral:rRNA from 1 species
AAAGUGGAGGCUAUUGUAACUGAAGAGAACUGGAAAGUUCCACCGUAGAAGGUAAUAGUCCUGUAAGUGAAACGAGAAGACCACGAGUUAUGAUCCAGAGUACCACGAGACACGUGAAACCUUGUGGGAAGCAGGGAGGACCACCUCCCAAGGCUAAAUACUACCUGAUGACCGAUAGUGAAGCAGUACCGUGAGGGAAAGGUGAAAAGAACCCCGGGAGGGGAGUGAAAUAGAACCUGAAACCGUGUGCCUACAACCGCUCAGAGCCCCUUAUGAGGGUGAUGAGGUGCUUUUUGUAGAACGAGCCAACGAGUUACGGUAUGUAGCAAGGUUAAGUACUUAAGGUACGGAGCCGAAGGGAAACCGAGUCUGAAUAGGGCGACUAGUUGCAUGCCGUAGACCCGAAACCGGGUGACCUAUCCAUGGCCAGGUUGAAGCGAGGGUAAAACCUCGUGGAGGACCGAACCACGUUGCUGUUGAAAAAGCAUGGGAUGAGCUGUGGAUAGCGGAGAAAUUCCAAUCGAACCCGGAGAUAGCUGGUUCUCUCCGAAAUAGCUUUAGGGCUAGCGUCGAGUAUGAGUAGUGGAGGUAGAGCACUGAAUGGGCUAGGGGGCAUAGCGCUUACCGAACCUUAUCAAACUCCGAAUGCCACAUACUUUGAGCUCGGCAGUCAGACUACGAAUGAUAAGAUCCGUGGUCAAAAGGGAAACAGCCCAGAUCGUCAGCUAAGGUCCCAAAGUGUAAGUUAAGUGGGAAAGGAUGUGAGAUUUCUAAGACAACUAGGAUGUUGGCUUAGAAGCAGCCAUUCAUUAAAAGAGUGCGUAAUAGCUCACUAGUCGAGAGAUCUUGCGCCGAAAAUGUAACGGGGCUAAACUUACCACCGAAGCUACGGGCUUGAACUUAGUUCAAGCGGUAGGAGAGCGUCGUAACCGGGCUGAAGUCGUACCGUAAGGAGCGGUGGACUGGUUACGAGUGAGAAUGUUGGCAUCAGUAGCGAGAUGUGGGUGAGAAUCCCACAGGCCGAAAACCUAAGGUUUCCUCAGGAAGGUUCGUCCGCUGAGGGUUAGUCGGGACCUAAGCCGAGGCCGAAAGGCGUAGGUGAUGGACAACUGGUUGAUAUUCCAGUACCACUACCAUCGUUAUUAUCGAUGGCGUGACGCAGGAGGAUAGUGUGUGCUAGCUAUUGGAUGCUAGUCUAAGCGUUUAGGCAGUGAGAGUAGGCAAAUCCGCUCUCAUAAUGCUGAGGCGUGAUGGGGAAGGUUCUACGGAACCGAAGUACAUGAUUCCACGCUGCCAAGAAAAGCGUCUAGAGAGAGAAGUAGUGCCCGUACCGCAAACCGACACAGGUAGGUGAGGAGAGAAUCCUAAGGCCGGCGGAAGAAUUACAGUUAAGGAACUCGGCAAAUUGACCCCGUAAGUUCGCGAGAAGGGGUGCCUACGAGAGUAGGCCGCAGAGAAUAGGCCCAAGCAACUGUUUAGCAAAAACACAGGUCUCUGCUAAAGCGUAAGCUGAUGUAUAGGGGCUGACGCCUGCCCGGUGCUGGAAGGUUAAGGGGAACACUUAGCGCAAGCGAAGGUGUGAACUUAAGCCCCAGUAAACGGCGGCCGUAACUAUAACGGUCCUAAGGUAGCGAAAUUCCUUGUCAGGUAAGUUCUGACCCGCACGAAUGGCGUAAUGACUUGGGCACUGUCUCAACUGUAAAUCCGGCGAAGUUGUAGUGCGAGUGAAGAUGCUCGCUACCCGCGAUUGGACGGAAAGACCCCGUAGAGCUUUACUGUAGCUUAGCAUUGAGUUUUGGUAUUGUCUGUACAGGAUAGGUGGGAGACUAGGAAACCAGGGCGUCAGCCUUGGUGGAGUCAACCUUGGGAUACCACCCUGACAGUACUGAAAUUCUAACUGGCGGCCAUGAAUCUGGUCACAGGACAUUGUUAGGUGGGCAGUUUGACUGGGGCGGUCGCCUCCUAAAAAGUAACGGAGGCGCCCAAAGGUUCCCUCAGAACGGUCGGAAAUCGUUCGAAGAGUGCAAAGGCAGAAGGGAGCCUGACUGCGACACCCACAAGUGGAGCAGGGACGAAAGUCGGGCUUAGUGAUCCGGUGGUACCUCGUGGGAGGGCCAUCGCUCAACGGAUAAAAGCUACCUCGGGGAUAACAGGCUGAUCUCCCCCAAGAGUCCACAUCGACGGGGAGGUUUGGCACCUCGAUGUCGGCUCGUCGCAUCCUGGGGCUGAAGUAGGUCCCAAGGGUUGGGCUGUUCGCCCAUUAAAGCGGCACGCGAGCUGGGUUCAGAACGUCGUGAGACAGUUCGGUCCCUAUCCGUCGCGGGCGUAGGAAAUUUGAGAGGAGCUGUCCUUAGUACGAGAGGACCGGGAUGGACUGACCUCUGGUGUACCAGUUGUUCCGCCAGGAGCACAGCUGGGUAGCUAAGUCGGGAAUGGAUAAACGCUGAAAGCAUCUAAGCGUGAAGCCAACCUCAAGAUGAGAUUUCCCAUAGCGUAAGCUAGUAAGAUCCCUUGAAGAACACAAGGUUGAUAGGUCGGGGGUGUAAGCAUGGUAACAUGUUCAGCUGACCGAUACUAAUAGAUCGAGGGCUUGACCAA